CCCAGCUACACGGGAGGCUGAGGCAGGAGAAUCACUUGAACCCAGGAGUCGGACAUUGCAGUGAGCUGAGAUUGCACCACUGUACUCCAGCCUGGGCGGCAGAGAGCGACUCUGUCUCAAAAAAAUAAAAAAAUAAAAAAAAAUUUUUAAUGUCUUCCAGGUUCUCAGAAUUCAAAACCUUAAGACAAAAAGCAUCAUUUCUGUAGCUGUAUCCUUCUUUGAUGAAAGCCUUAUUAUCCUAGCGCUAAACAGAGGUUGAUAAUUUGUGUUUUACACUUCAUUAUGCAAAAAAAACCCCACAUUUCUUCAGCACUAUAAUGUUGAUGAGAUGGGAGGGGUACAGUCCACAUUGUUCCAGCCUGUAAAAUGGACAUGCCAUACCAUUCAUUUCCCUCUCCUUGCUUACAGAGAACUGAUGAGAUAGAAGUUGCAGAUGACCAAGUUUACUGAAAAUGGGUGCUGUGAGUGAAAGAAAGAGGAAUGGAUUAAAUUUAAAAUGACACUACUUCAGCCAUCUCAGCAUCUGGGUUGGUGGACAAAACUAGAGGACUGGCGUUUCUGGGGGCACGUGUCAGGAAGCACUGAUCUGGUGACUUUUGGAGGAAAAAGCUGGCUUAUUCGGGUCCAGUCAUCAUGGUCCAUUUACUGUUUUGUAGUACCUCCAGAAUUGUCUCUCUUUUCUAUCUAUUUCUCCCAAAAAUAGGAUUUCUCCUCUUUACAAAUGUCACAGAAGGAAGCUCUAAAGAGUGAUUUCCAGCAUCCAUACAAGUGAAAAGUUCAGCUCCCAAGAGGAGCAGACAACGUCCGCAAAGCAAACCAAGCAAGACCCAUGGGGCCAAGGCAUUAAGUGGUUUCUCAGGGUGGUGGAAUGUGGCUGCUUCCCUGCUUCUCCCAGAGAAGCUUUAAAUGUGUAGGUAACUUCCCAGACCACCAGAAGGCACCAACAUGGGAAAAACAGAUCCAGUCACUGGCCCAGAGAGUCAGAAAUCAGCCCAUCCAGGUGACCCCGCUUAGGCUCCUGUUCAUGCACUUGUCAAAGGCCAGCCCAGCCCAAGGAGGGGGAAAGAAUUAGACAGAGGAUCAGCUUUUUAUUUUCAUGUACAAAGCACUUGCCCUCGGGUUAUAAAUGUUAUUGCAUUUGUGUAGCACUUUACUGCUGCCCUCAGCUUGCAAGCAUCACAGGAUCCCAGUGGCAGUACUUUCUUAACCCUUGAUCAAUAGCUUAUUUCUAUCGCCUUCAGUCCCAGCUGCCAAUCCGUUCUGUAAAAUGUGGGAGGCAGACUUCGCUGCUCUCCAGCUGUACAUGUUAUGAAUGUAAACGGUGCAAGUAACAUAUGUAUUAUACGUAUGUGUGUGUGUGUACUGAGUGGGGGACAUGAGAUUUUUGAACAAGGAGUAACAAAAAUGGGACCCUUGUUCUGGGAGACUCCCAUACAGCUGGGAGUUUUCUUUCUAGUUUCUCCUUUUCUCUCUUUCUCUCUCUCUGAAACGAUGUGCUUGGUAUUCUGUCAUGUGGCAGGAGAAAUUCUCUCUUAAGUUUCUGUGUUUUUAUUUGAUAUAUAUUUGGGGGAAGGGGUGAAAAGUGGACAGAAAGAUCUAAGUUCCAAGAAAGAAAGGGUCAUGUCCAUCUUAUUUAUCACCCCUGUAGUCCCAGCACCUACACUGAGCCUAGCACAGAACAGGUGCUCAGGAAGUAUUUGUUGACUAAAUGAAUGAAUUCAGGAAUGGGAGGAUAAGAGGGCCCCAGAGCAAUCCUCUGGAGCUGCCUGAGCAAAGAGGCAAAGGCCUUGUCUUGCUGGCAGCAAGGGGGACCACAAAAGGUUUAAUGGGCAUCUACUUUAUUUAUUUUAUUUUUAUUUUUUGAGAUGGAGUCUUGCUCUGUCUCCAGGCUGGAGUGCAGUGGCGUGAUUUCGGCUCACUGCAACCUCC
rnacentral:lncRNA from 1 species